AUUUUACAUACUCAUACCACUUCAUCUAGUUUAUUAAGAACUGAACCUGAAACAUUGGAGUAUCAUAGUCGCCUGUGAAGCCACGUUUACAAAGGUAUGGAAAGAAUACAGUAUCAACAUAAUAACAUUUGGAGUUGCACUCAUUGUUAUCCUUCUGCUUGUGAGGCAUAAAUUUCCUUCUUGUUAAAUGGUUUGCUUCUCCGUGGAACAUCAGCCAAAUUACAGAAUUCGGUCAAAGUCUUCCUGAUUUGAACUUUCUUCUUUUUAUCUGGUGGCCGAGGUCCUAAAACACUUGUGUCAAUAGUAGCCCCAUAAGCUUCAGAGGAAUGCAUAACUGCAUCAUAAGCCUUC
rnacentral:lncRNA from 1 species